UACGAAGGUGGCAAGCGUUAUCCGGAUUCAUUGGGUUUAAAGGGAGCGUAGGUGGUCUUAUAAGUCAGUGGUGAAAUCUCUGGGCUUAACCCAGAAAUUGCCAUUGAUACUGUAGGACUUGAGUAUAGUUGCCGUUGGCGGAAUAUGACAUGUAGUGGUGAAAUACAUAGAGAUGUCAUAGAACACCGAUUGCGAAGGCAGCUAACGAAACUAUAACUGACACUGAGGCUCGAAAGUGCGGGGAUCAAACAGG
rnacentral:rRNA from 1 species